AAGAAAAUCAACUAAUUUCCAUUGAUAUAGCAUAUUGAAUGCAAGAGGGAAUUACAUGGAAACAAUUAUUGUUGUGAUUCUCUAAAGAAGACCGAGCUGCAUAAUUUGCCUUUGGGCUUGCGAACUGAAUACUAAAGCCUGGACGAGAGUUGAGCUUCCGUUUGACACGAUCUAUAAAAAUACCACUCAUAAAUGUUGUUGUUCUAACCAUUUCAAAGCUCGCAGAAUGGCAUAGGCUUCUCCUUGAAUAAAGUUACCCUCCUCAUCUCGCAGACAACAUCCAAAUUCAGUUUUGCCCAAAUCUUUGAAAAAACACUUAUAUUUUGACUGGGCAAGUACCCAACACCAAAAGAACACUAUUAAAAUUAAUUAGAUUUUGAAAGACAGACAAAUUGAAGAUGCGUUCAAGUAGAAUAAAUACUUAGAUACCCUAAAAAAGUGAAGCUGAUAUACUUUGGUAUUUGCAAGUUAUGAACACCCCUAAUUAUUCAAUGGUGUGUUUUUUUGCUUUUUUCACAAGAAUCGUAGGGCCGGCCCUCUUCAAAGUUUCAGUUUGCCGACCUUCCAUCCUAAAACUCUGAGAG
rnacentral:lncRNA from 1 species